GUUUGUAAUAUGAAAUGCACUCUCUACAUACUCAAAAUUCCCCUUUGAAAUGACAUGAAAUUAAAACAUCAAUAUUUAAAUUCCAAUGAUCUGGCUGCAUUUCGAGCUCCCGCUUGAGCCACCGCUCCGAUGCAUUUGACUGUUAAGGUUGCCAUAGCGAUCACGUGUGUGGGUGGCACUGUAGAAGGACUUCCUGUUGUGCGUUUAAACGUUUGAUAUUUUACGAUGAAAAGAACACCUAAGCCAUCGGGAUCAGCAUUCCAAAAGCGAAGGAAGGAAGAAGAAUAAAAACGGGCCCAAAGCAGAGCGUCUUCAUUCAGGCAUCACGCAGCAGCAGCACAUUUACUGAGCUACAGUCUCAGCAUCUAGAACCAGAAGAAGAACCCAACACCACACCAGCAGACUCAGUGCUCCAACCCAACAGCCUGAAGAGACACCAUCAUCAGCUUCAACAGAUGUCUGUGAACAUGUAUGAGCUGCUGGCCCCAUGGAUCCUGCUGACUGGCCACAGCAGUUGAACAAAAUGGAAAGUAGAACUUUCUUUAUGAUGACACUUUGAUGUUUGAGAUUUGCUUUUGAUUGCACAGUUAUUGGUUUUGC